rnacentral:rRNA from 1 species
UACGUAGGUGGCAAGCGUUGUCCGGAUUUACUGGGCGUAAAGAGCGCGCAGGCGGUCAGAUAAGUCGAAUGUGAAAGCCCCCGGCUCAACUGGGGAGGGUCAUUCGAUACUGUUCGACUCGAAGGCAGGAGAGGGAAGUGGAAUUCCCGGUGUAGUGGUGAAAUGCGUAGAUAUCGUAAGGAAGACCAGUGGCGAAGGCGGGUCUCUGGACAGUUCCUGACGCUGAGGCACGAAGGUCAGGGGAGCAAACGGG